rnacentral:rRNA from 1 species
GAUGAACGCUGGCGGCGUGCCUAAUACAUGCAAGUCGAGCGAACAGAUAAGGAGCUUGCUCCUUUGACGUUAGCGGCGGACGGGUGAGUAACACGUGGGUAACCUACCUAUAAGACUGGAAUAUCUCCGGGAAACCGGGGUUAAUGCCGGAUAACAUGUUGAACCGCAUGGUUCUACAGUGAAAGGCGGCUUUGCUGUCACUUAUAGAUGGACCCGCGCCGUAUUAGCUAGUUGGUGAGGUAACGGCUCACCAAGGCAACGAUACGUAGCCGACCUGAGAGGGUGGUCGGCCACACUGGAACUGAGACACGGUCCAGACUCCUACGGGAGGCAGCAGUAGGGAAUCUUCCGCAAUGGGCGAAAGCCUGACGGAGCAACGCCGCGUGAGUGAUGAAGGUCUUCGGAUCGUAAAACUCUGUUAUUAGGGAAGAACAAAUGCGUAAGUAACUGUGCGCGUCUUGACGGUACCUAAUCAGAAAGCCACGGCUAACUACGUG